rnacentral:lncRNA from 1 species
AUGAUUGAUACCGCCAGAACCCCCUUCCCUUACGCAGCCCCGAGCAGCGCCCGGCGCAGGCUGACAAACUGCUGCUCUGUCCAGAGAUCACACAGAGGGUCUGAUACUUUUUAUUUUCUUGCUUGCACCACGGGAGAACUUUCGUCUGAGAAAGACAAUUUCAUUUUGAGUCCACUGCUUGCGAGCAUUGUUGAUCCUGGACGUCACCGACAAUACGAGUCUUGGUGAUAAAUCAUUAAAGAGUUGGCUGCGUCCUCCAGAAGCCUUUCUUCCAAUUCUGAACCUCUUAUCCCUUCCACAACAAGGCAUUUGGGCUCCGUCCAGUGGAGGGCUGGGAAGAACAUACACAUUUCCUCUACACUCCUACAUGCUUAUAGUCUUGGGGACUAAAGAUAACACUGCUGAAAAGUGCAUGUGAACUGAGAAAAAAUUCUCCAGAGCUGGUAUGAAACAAAUCUCAGCAAAUCCUUCCUUUAUCCUUACAUAUAUGAGCUUUGGCCUGGUUCUAGAAACCAAAGCUCUAAUUUCUUUCCUGGCAAUUAAAAAAUGGCAACUGUAUCCCAGCAUUAGAAGGAUUUUAAUGAAGUCAAACUAUCAUUCGAGUCUCUCAUUGGACACUGUCUAAACCGAAGGAGAUAAUGCACCUCACAAGUCCAUUUAAAUGAAAACAAUAAACUGAACCAAGCACUGUAUUUUUAUACA